rnacentral:misc_RNA from 1 species
AAGGAGUCCAACAUGUAUGCGAGUGUUUGGGUGGCAAACCCUUAUGCGUAAUGAAAGUGAACGGAGGUGUAUUUGCACCAUCGACCGACCUGGAGUUCUUUGAAAUUUCUGAGUAAGAGCGUGGAUGCUAGGACCCGAAAGAUGGUGAACUAUGCCUGAAUAGGGUGAAGCCAGAGGAAACUCUGGUGGAGGCUCGUAGCGAUUCUGACGCGCAAAUCGAUCGUCAAAUUUGGGUAUAGGGGCGAAAGACUAAUCGAACCAUCUAGUAGCUGGUUCCCUC